UCUUCCCUCCGCGGCCUCAGAGAUAUCUGAAGAUGGUCCGCUACUCUCUCGACCCGGAGAACCCGACUAAAUCAUGCAAGUCGAGGGGCUCCAACCUGCGGGUUCACUUCAAGGUAAGACGUCUAAACUUUUAUAAUUAGUUAUUUGACGUCUAAAAUAUUUAUAAUUAAAGUUAUUUAACUCAAUGUUUUAUUCAGCAGCGAGAUGUAAACUGUCUCAUCAGGAACUCUUAAACUAAAUUAAAUCAAAAUACUUUGAACUCUCAGACUGACGUUAAAGUCUUACUAGUAGCUGUAUCAGUUCGUCUUGUAACAGCAGUGGUGUGUUUCAUGUUGAACAUCAGUAUUCAUUUCAUCUUAAAUGUUUUAUUCCAGGUUAAAGUAAAUAUAAAUCUAGAGGAUCGAUGAAGUUUAAAUUCAGCAGGAUCUGAUUGAGGUUAUAACCAGUA